CAGUCGCCGCGGGAAUACGAAGGGUGCAAGCGUUAAUCGGAAUUACUGGGCGUAAAGCGUGCGUAGGCGGUGAGUUAAGUCUGCUGUGAAAUCCCCGGGCUCAACCUGGGAAUGGCAGUGGAUACUGGCUCGCUAGAGUGUGUCAGAGGAUGGUGGGAUUCCCGGUGUAGCGGUGAAAUGCGUAGAGAUCGGGAGGAACAUCAGUGGCGAAGGCGGCCAUCUGGGACAACACUGACGCUGAGGCACGAAAGCGUGGGGAGCAAACAGGAUUAGAUACCCGAGUAGUCCCUGUCUCUUAUAC
rnacentral:rRNA from 1 species